UCGAGCGGCAGCGCGGGGGCAACCCUGGCGGCGAGCGGCGAACGGGUGAGGAAUACAUCGGAACGUACCCGAGAGUGGGGGAUAACGCCGCGAAAGCGGCGCUAAUACCGCAUAUUCUCUUUGGAGGAAAGUGGGGGACCGCAAGGCCUCACGCUCACGGAGCGGCCGAUGUCCGAUUAGCUAGUUGGUGGGGUAAAGGCUUACCAAGGCGACGAUCGGUAGCUGGUCUGAGAGGAUGAUCAGCCACACUGGGACUGAGACACGGCCCAGACUCCUACGGGAGGCAGCAGUGGGGAAUUUUGGACAAUGGGGGCAACCCUGAUCCAGCCAUGCCGCGUGCGGGAAGAAGGCCUUCGGGUUGUAAACCGCUUUUAGCCGGGAAGAAAAGGCGAAGGUUAAUACCUUUCGUUCUUGACGGUACCGGCGGAAUAAGCACCGGCUAACUACGUGCCAGCAGCCGCGGUAAUACGUAGGGUGCGAGCGUUA
rnacentral:rRNA from 1 species